AGUGAACGCUGGCGGUAGGCCUAACACAUGCAAGUCGAACGGCAGCACAGUAAGAGCUUGCUCUUACGGGUGGCGAGUGGCGGACGGGUGAGGAAUACAUCGGAAUCUACUUUUUCGUGGGGGAUAACGUAGGGAAACUUACGCUAAUACCGCAUACGACCUACGGGUGAAAGCAGGGGAUCUUCGGACCUUGCGCGAUUGAUUGAGCCGAUGUCGGAUUAGCUAGUUGGCUGGGUAAAGGCCCACCAAGGCGACGAUCCGUAGCUGGUCUGAGAGGAUGAUCAGCCACACUGGAACUGAGACACGGUCCAGACUCCUACGGGAGGCAGCAGUGGGGAAUAUUGGACAAUGGGCGCAAGCCUGAUCCAGCCAUACCGCGUGGGUGAAGAAGGCCUUCGGGUUGUAAAGCCCUUUUGUUGGGAAAGAAAAGCAGCAGGUUAAUACCCCGCUGUUCUGACGGUACCCAAAGAAUAAGCACCGGCUAACUUCGUG
rnacentral:rRNA from 1 species